rnacentral:rRNA from 1 species
GACGAACGCUGGCGGCGUGCCUAAUACAUGCAAGUAGGACGCAGUUGCGAACGGGUGAGUAACGCGUAGGAAACUACCUAUUAGAGGGGGAUAAAUAUUGGAAACGAUAGCUACAACCGCAUACUAGUAGAUGGACUUGCGUUGUAUUAGCUAGUAGGUAGGGUAAUGGCCUACCUAGGCAACGAGACAUAGCCGAACUGAGGCGGUGAGCGGCCACACUGGGGCUGGGCAUCGGCCCCGACACCUACAGCAGGCCUCAGUAGGGAAUCAUCGGCAAUGGGGGGAGCCCUGACCAAGCAACGCCGCGUGAGUGCAGAAGGUUUUCGGAUCGUAGAGCUCUGUUGUUAAGGAAGCGGUACUUAACCAGAAAGGGACGGCUAACUACGUGCCAGCAGCCGCGGUAAUAC